rnacentral:rRNA from 1 species
GAUGAACGCUGGCGGCGUGCCUAAUACAUGCAAGUCGAGCGAACAGACGAGGAGCUUGCUCCGCUGACGUUAGCGGCGGACGGGUGAGUAACACGUGGAUAACCUACCUAUAAGACUGGGAUAACUUCGGGAAACCGGAGCUAAUACCGGAUAACAUGUUGAACCGCAUGGUUCAACAGUGAAAGACGGUCUUGCUGUCACUUAUAGAUGGAUCCGCGCCGCAUUAGCUAGUUGGUAAGGUAACGGCUUACCAAGGCAACGAUGCGUAGCCGACCUGAGAGGGUGAUCGGCCACACUGGAACUGAGACACGGUCCAGACUCCUACGGGAGGCAGCAGUAGGGAAUCUUCCGCAAUGGGCGAAAGCCUGACGGAGCAACGCCGCGUGAGUGAAGAAGGUCUUCGGAUCGUAAAACUCUGUUAUUAGGGAAGAACAAAUGUGUAAGUAACUAUGCACGUCUUGACGGUACCUAAUCAGAAAGCCACGGCUAACUACGUG